rnacentral:tRNA from 1 species
CCGCCACUAGCUCAUCGGGAAGAGCAGCAACUAAAAGUUGUAGUACGAGGUUCGAGGCCCCGGUGGCGGACCA